rnacentral:lncRNA from 1 species
CACAUGUGAGAUGGAGAUUAAAUCCCAGGCAACAGACUGAAAACAUCUGUACUGGGUCAGGCUGGGAUGGAUUCCCGUUGCUCAUAGCACAGGGAUGGGACACAGCCAAGUUGCCAUAGCAGCACUCCAUACUUUGUCAAUCUCUCCACCCAAUUUUCUCACUUUUGCUCUUCCAGUUCCCUGCACCUGCCCCACUUUGGAGCGGGGGAUGGAGCUUGUUCUUCACACCCUUACAGGAAGGUAUGAGGAGUACCUCAGUGCCUUAUCCUACAAGUGUCCUGCCAACAGGGAGAGUUAUUCCUCUCCAUCAGCUGUGCCAGGGCUGGGGCUGCCUCCUGCCCUUCCUUCCUAGAUUGUUUUGCUUUGGAAAUUGAGGUGAAAGGUCAGUAGGGAAAGGUGUCUUCUGUCUGUCAGCCUGGAACGGGCUUGAGAUGUGUCCAAGGCACGCACCUAGAUUUGUCACUUUGUCCCACUUCUAUAAACACACAGUAGAACAGAGGUUUGGGAUUUAGAGGCUUGGAGGUCAAGGGUGACUUUGUUUUUUGGGGUGCUGAGCCCACACUGCACCCCAGAGUAAGACAUUCACCUUCUGGUAAGGCUUUCACCUUCUGGAAAGGAGGAAACAGAUCAUGGAAGUCGACACUGCAGGGAAAGGGCAGAGCAACCCUGGUCACACUCAUCUGGAGGCACUGCAAGGGGCAAGAUGAAGGCUGCGCCCAAGUCCUGUAGCACUUGAGGAGCAGGACAUUGCCAGAGGGCUUCCAAGAUGCUCCAGCCUCCCAAGGGUCAUGUGCAGCUCCCGCUGAAGUACCACCACUGCAGAGGCUGAAUGGGAUCAGGGAGAGCCCCUUGAACUUCACUGCACGGCCAGACCCAGCGAACUCAGCCCCAUCCACCUCCUGCUGCAGGGUCUCUGAUGGUUUUCCAGCCUCUGUGGAUCAUCUUCACAGACAUCCCUCUCACCAGGCAUUCCAGAACUGGAUGGAGCAUGCAGAUGUCACAGCCGGGGUGACAACAGCCAGGUGGCCCCUUGUCCCCUCCUGUGGCCCAGGCUGGGGCUCUCCAUCCUCGCAGGGAGAGCACAUUGUUGGAUCGUACCCAGUUUGGUGCCUGCCACCCUUCCCAGGUCCUUUCCAGUACGGCUGUUGUGCCACAGCUCCUGUCAGUGUCCCCGUGCCCUGCCCUCAUCCAGGGCCACCUGCCACCAGCACAUUCUUCAGGACACAAGCAGAUGGUGGUGACAAUCCCCUGCCCAGCCAGGCAGAAGUACAACCCCACGGGUCCUCUGGGAGACAGCAGAAUCCAGAAAGAGGGAUCUACAGCAGGCAGGGAACAGG